AACGAACGCUGGCGGCAGGCUUAACACAUGCAAGUCGAACGCCCCGCAAGGGGAGUGGCAGACGGGUGAGUAACACGUGGGAACAUGCCCAAAGGUACGGAAUAUUCUCGGGAAACUGGGAGCAAUACCGUAUGUGCCCGAAAGGGGAAAGAUUUAUCGCCUUUGGAUUGGCCCGCGUUGGAUUAGCUAGUUGGUGGGGUAAAAGCCUACCAAGGCGACGAUCCAUAGCUGGUCUGAGAGGAUGAUCAGCCACACUGGGACUGAGACACGGCCCAGACUCCUACGGGAGGCAGCAGUGGGGAAUCUUAGACAAUGGGGGCAACCCUGAUCUAGCCAUGCCGCGUGAGUGAUGAAGGCCCUAGGGUUGUAAAGCUCUUUCAGCUGGGAAGAUAAUGACGGUACCAGCAGAAGAAGCCCCGGCUAACUCCGUGCCAGCAGACGCGGUAAAGUGUGACUGU
rnacentral:rRNA from 1 species